rnacentral:rRNA from 1 species
UACGUAGGGUGCAAGCGUUAAUCGGAAUUACUGGGCGUAAAGCGUGCGCAGGCGGUCCGUUAAGACAGAUGUGAAAUCCCCGGGCUUAACCUGGGAACUGCAUUUGUGACUGGCGGACUCGAGUAUGGCAGAGGGGGGUAGAAUUCCACGGUGUAGCAGUGAAAUGCGUAGAGAUGUGGAGGAAUACCGAUGGCGAAGGCAGCCCCUGGGCCAAUACUGACGCUCAUGCACGAAAGCGUGGGGAGCAAACAGG